rnacentral:lncRNA from 1 species
UUAUUAUUAAUGGGCUCAUGGCUAAAUGAAAUUCAAUUUAUUGGACUUAAUUGUUAUAUUUAUAAGUAGACAUAAAUUGAUUUCGAUUUGUCUUUUUAAAAUUAGGAAUUGAUUAAUAAUUAAAUAAUUGUUAAGUUGAAUUGUGUGGUAGAUUCUUAAAUCCCGGUAGCCUUAAUCUCUUGAAUUCUUAAUUUGCUUGCAUAUUUACUUGUAUCUUUAGUUCUAAUUUUCUUAAACGAAAUAUUUUCUUUCUAUGUAAAGGUAUAAUUAACUUAUAUUAAAUUUUACUUUCCUAAAAAUUAACAGUUCUUAUAGGUAUGACUUCAUUAUUCUUAAUAUAUACUUCACUUGACUUAUGCAUUUACAAAUACAUUAAAAUUUGCACAAAAUUUGACUAUGUGCAUUUCUCAGGUGACAAGAAUACACACACACACAUUUAUAAACUGCCUGCAAACCCAUGUACAUUUUAAUUUCUUAAAAUGAACAUUUACAAACAGUUUAUGAAACUAAGAAAUUUGCACCCAUACAUUGUCUAAAUUUAAUGUUUUUGGCAGCAUACCUUCUGCUCCAACUCAAUUUACUUGCAAUCUGAUAUCCCAAAAAAAAAAAUUCAUAAGUUUCCGUUAUAUAAAUCAUUACAUUACAUGGCAAAUCUUUGAAAAAUGAAAAUCGAAAGAUUAAACAGAGAAAAUAAGAAAAUUUCAGUAUCUGAUGUAAAUUAACAUAUAAACACCAAAAAAAGCAAAUAAAAAAGAGAUUUAAGUUUCAGAAACUCGUAAUAAAAUACAAAAUGGAGGAAUCAUGUACCUGAGGCUAGAGGAUAAAUGAAUGAUGGUUUUUGAGGAUAUGCAGAGAUUGUUUUCUAAAUAGGACAGAAUCUUAAUUCUUAUGGCUUCAAGAGGAGGUAUGUUCUUAAAAAUAAAUACUCACAUGUCAUAAUAUCAUUUAUUUAUUAUAUAGUUGACAUAUGAUCUUAGAGUUACUUUAAAAUUCCUUAAGGAGAUAGAUAUAGCAUGAAUCUUUCCCCUACAAGAUAGGGAUUAUUCCCCCUCGAAGAUUAUCAUUGACUAUAGGAGACAAAUCCCUUGAUUUUAGCCUUUUAGUGUGACUGUGAUUAUUUAAUUAUCUCCACAUGCCACAUUAGUUUGAAAUUAUCUACAUAUGCUUAACCCAUAUAAUUAUUAAAAUAUCCUCAGUUAAAUUAGGUUGAUACAUGAAUUGUAUGACUCAUUGUUGUGUAACGAGUAGUAAAUUCUAUGUAUCGUGUAUAUUUGUUGCACUGCUCAUGCCAAAACAGUUUUGUGAGAGUAGUGAUAUUUGAUCCCAUGUAUUUAUUUCAUGUCCUUAGUUUUCAAUUACUCGUUUAUUUCUGAAUUUACCAUUAUUAAAAAAUAAAAAUAACAAAAAGUUCUUUUAUUCUAUGAUUUAUCUCUCUCUCAGUCUCUUGAAUUAUCAAUUUCUGAAAAUUGAGCGAAAAUUGAAUUGAAGUUGAAAUUUUUUAUCAGAGGAAGGGAAUUAAUAUUAAAACUUUUUUACAAGAAAAGGACCAUUAUCAAUAAUUAUUUAGCGUGUUCUAUGCAUGCGUGUAUGAAAUAAAAACUCACAAUUAGAAAAUUAAAAACUUAUAGGAGGUCAAGAAAAUCUAUACUUCUAAUACUAAAGGUAUUAACAAUAAGUUCUUGCUUGAAACAUGUCCCAAAUUUAAUGGCAUUCUUGAUAUUAAACUAGAACCAUCAAAGAUAAAAGUUUAGAAGCUAUAUAUUUACUCAACCCACCAACUCAAUCAGGGGUGACUUUAAGCAUAGGCGAACAAAGCGAUUACCUAAGACCUUAUAUUUUUUGAAUGCCUCAUUUUUUUUUAGUAUUUCUUAAUAGUUAUUUAAUUAAUAAUCAUCCUUUUUUAAAAAAAUUAUGUAUUGUAGAAAAGCCUAUUAGACAUCUUUAUAAUUAACAGUUAAAUCACAACUAAGAAUUAUUAUUUUUUAACAGAAAAUCAGUAUUUGGUAACCUUAAUGUUCAAGAGAUAUAAUUAAUAAAAUUGUUUAGCCAUUAAUUCAUUCAUUAUUAGUUUUUCAAAAAAAAAAUAAUUUUUUUACCUUUUAAGUUUCCUAAAAAAUUAAAUUCUUUGACUUUUAAUAUUCCUUUUAAUUUCCAUUAAAACCUUGUAAUAUAAAAAAUCAAUAAAUAAAUAGAUUUCUUGCUCUUUUUUUUUACGAAGAGAAUUAUUACAUUCAUUGAUUCAUUUAAAAAAGAAAAAAUUAGUUUCUUAAAAUACAAUGUGCAUAUUUAUUAUUUGAUAAUCAAUUCAUCAUCUCAACUUUCUACUAUUCUAAAUAUUCUAUUUGAAAAUAAUAUUGUUUUUAUGUAUUUGUUUGUUUAUUUUUGUAAUAUUUUAAUGGAAGUAAAAAAGAUAUCUUCUUGGUUUUUUUUUAGGUUUGGUUUUUGAAAAUUUUUAAGAUAUUUUUUAUUACUAUUAAAAUUCAAGAGUUAAAAGUCGAAUGAAUUUUUUAGUCUUAUAUUUCUUUAAAUAUUAAAAUUGCAAAAUAAAAAAAGGCCCCACAAAAAAUUUUUGCCUAAAGUCCCAUAUACUCUAAAGCCAGCCCUGAACUCAAUCAUAGAUCAUGAGCCAUACCCUUAUUUUCUGUUUUCAUGUUGUAAAAUCUGUACUUCUAAUAAUUUUUAACAGCGCAUGUAUUAAGCGCGUUGCCAAAAAGUGGAUUUCACAACAAUCAUCUUGUGAAGGUGGCUAUAUUCUUGUUGUUAUAUCCUAUUUUUCUUUGUACUGGGGAUGAUGAACAAACCAAAUAUAAAUCGAGCAAAUAAAUUAAGUAUAAGGGACCACAAUUCUCAAACUGGAAGUGAAUUGUCGUCUCAAAUUUAAUUGCAAUGACAGAGAAUUAGGUGAAGUUGCAGAAAAAUUUUAGAAAAGUGGUAAAGAUGACAACAAAGAUUGUGAUGCUUUUAGAGUUUGCUAGCUCAAUUCUUGCUUCAUGCCAAGCCUACUUUGACCAAUACUUUAGCACAAAUGUUACAGGUUAGAUUUUCAUUACGAACUGUAACCUGCACAGCAUAGCUCUGACAGAACACAUUACGUAUAUUGUGAGUUGUCACCGUUUUUAAGUUACUAUUGUGAAGUCAACUAACUGGUAGAGCCUUAUUAUAACUAAUGCUGUAAAUGGUUAUUCUGGAAGCAAAUGCUAGCUUGAUUUUUCAGAAAAGGUGUUCCUAAUUCUUGCUUGGGGGGAUUGAAUUUUGGAUUGAAAUGUUUAUUUGCGAAAUAUUUUUACAGGAUCCAGAAUUGUGAGCUUUGGACAUUUCUUGUGGAAUGUUUUGGUUAUUUUAAGUGUCUUUUGUUACCAUUAAAUUAACCCUAAGGGAAAAAAAUGCUUAUAGUUGGGAAAAGUUUUGAUGGAUCGAUAUUUUUCAAUAUAGUUUUUUACUUAGCUUAUUAUAUAUGAGUCAUGUUUAGAUGCAAGUCCGCAUUUUAAAUGACUGCAGAAGCUUGUUUCAAAUAUAGUCAUCUUUAGCUUGGUUCAAAUUUUUUUCUAUUUUAUUUUUUAGAAACGACUGCAGAAGCUUGUUUGUUUAAACUUGAAAAUAGGUAAAUGUCUUGAAUAAAGUUGAUGAUGGUAGUUUCAUGUAAACCUUUUUUUUUCUUGUUGUGUCUAAUCUCUUCAUGUACAGGUUCUUGUGGUCAACUUGAAAAUGGCUAAAAUUGUGGAUAAGGGUAACGAGACUAACUUCAAGGAGAUCGAUGAUGUGAACCAACAAAAUGAAAUUUUAAGGAAAAAUCAGCCUUUCAUUGUAAGUCUUCUGAUAGUAAAUAUUAUGUGUUUGAUUGUUGGUAAGUAUUUGUUGGAAUUGUAAAAAAAAAAAAAAAAAAAAACUUAGAAAAAUGACCUAAAACUUAUGAGUCGACAUUAGGUGUGAAAUAAAACAAAAAAUAUAUACACCACACACAGGACUAAUAAAUUGAAGGAAAAUGGGCAAAUUAAUGUUGAAGUAAUAAAUAGGAACAAGAAAUUGUAAACAAAACAAAAACUUAGAAAAAUAACAUAAAACUUAUAAAUUGACAUUAAGUUUGAAAUGAAACAAAAAGUUUGUAAACCGGGUAUAAGACUAGUAAAUUGAUGGGAAAAAAAGGUAAAUAAUUAAUAUUGGAGUUGUAAAUUGGAAUAAGAAAUUGUAAAUAAAAUAAGAACUCAGAAAAAUGACAUAAAACUUAAAAAUUGAUAUUAAGUGUGAAAUGAAACAAAAAAUUUAUAAAUCACGCAUAGGACUAGUAAAUUGAAGCAAAAAGAGGACUAGUAAAUUGAAGCAAAAAGAGGACUAGUAAAUUGAAGCAAAAAGUGGUAAAUUGAUGUUGGAGUCGUAAAUUAGAACAAGAAAUUAUAAAAAAGAUAAAAAAUUAAAAAAAUAACAUAAAACUUGUAAAUUUGAUAUUAAGUGUGAAAUUAAAUAAAAAAAUUAUAAACCAUACAUAGGAUUAGUAAAUUAAAUGAAAAAUAGAUAGAUUAAUGUUGGAGUAGUAAAUUAGUCUUUCGAAUUGUAAACAAAAAAACAAAAACUUAGAAAAAUUAUAUAAAACUUGAAAAUUUACAUUAAGUGUGAAAUGAAAUAAAAAAAUUUGUAAACUACAUAUAGGACUAGUAAAUUGAAGGAAAAAUGAGUAAAUUAAUGUUGGAGCAGUAAAUUGAAAAAAGAAAUUAUAAACAAAAUAAAAAUUUAGAAAAAUGACAUAAAACUUGUAAAUUAACAUUAAGUUUGAAAUGAAACAAGAAAUUUGUAAACGCGCAUAAAACUAGUCAAUUGAGGCAAAAAAUGGUAAAAUAAUGUUGGAGUGGUAAAUUAGAAGAAGAAAUUAUAAAAAAGACAAAAAAUUAAAAAUAAUAUAAAACUUAUAAAUUGAUAUUAAGUAUGAAAUAAAAAAAAAUUAUAGACCGCACAUAGGACUAGUAAAUUAAAUGAAAAAUGAGUAGAUUGGUGUUGGAGUAGUAAAUUGGUCUUUGGAAUUGUAAAAAAAAAACUUAGAAAAAUGACAUAAAACUUGAAAAUUGACAUUAAUUGUGAAAUGAAAUAAAAAAAAAAUGCAAACUACGUAUAGGACUAAUAAAUUGAAAAAAAUGGGUAAAUUAAUGUUGGAGCAGUAAAUUGAAACAAGAAAUUAUAAACAAAAUAAAAACUUAGAAAAAUGACAUAAAACUUAUAAAUUGACAUUAAGUGUCAAAUAACACAUUAAAUUUGUGAAUCACACAUAAGACUAAUAAAUGUAACCUCUAACGUGAACAAAAAAAUAUAAUUACUGAUUACUUACCUAUUUAUUUAUGAUUAAUGGUAGAGAUUUUUCAUUCAAUCUAAUGGUUUACGUCUAUUACGAUAUUGAAACCGUAAUUUUAAUUAUGGUAUUAUAGAAUGACCCAAAUAACAAAUUAAAAAAGCAACGGGUUGGCAAUACAAAAUCAAAAGAAGGACAAAAUAUGAAAAGCAAGGUACGUAAUUCCACUGAAUGGAAGCCCUAAACUGUCCCCCCAGGGGGUCUACCAACAAAUUAAAGCUCUGGAGAACUAUCACUUCUAUCUAGGCAUAUAAAUUAUUUACUUAAGUGUGUUCAUCUUUAUUACAUGCUCUCUCACAUUAUAGUUCAAAUUUAUUUAGGAGAAAGUAGAAAUGGGAGCUCACCGCUGACUUAUAGGGCAUGGCUACCGUGCAGGUAUGUAUGUGAUGUAGAGGUAGAUGCUUACCAUUGGAUUCAGUAAUAUGAAACCUAACGGAUAAGAUUAAAUUUAUAAUUAAAUCAAGUAAUUUGAGAAGACUAGAAAUUCAGUUAUCAUGUCCCUUGUAUAACUUGUGAGUAAUAGUGCGGAAAUUAAUAGCAGUAAAUAUGAAACUACCGCCAUUAAACAUAUAAUUUUUACCCAAAAUUUAUAUCGUAAAACCUUAAGCAAAAAAUUUUAAAUUUAAUAAUUAUACUUGAAACCACCACCAUCCAAUAUGGAAUUAAAACUUACCUAAAAUCUUGAAGCAAAUUAUUGUGUAAAACUAAUAAUGAGAACAUGAUACUAUUAAUCGACAUAAAACCUUAUGAGAUGAGAUUAAUAGUUUACUAUGUGAAACUUGAAUGCCAACAUGAAAUGGGGGUAAAAAAGAAAAAGUUUUAGGAUAUUUGGAAUAUCCUACGUCAAACAUAAAAUUAUAAAUAUGAAACAUUUUACUUAAGAUAAAUAUGAAACAGAAAACAUGAGUAUGUUAAAACAUGAAAAACAAAACGCUAGUCAUGAAAUUUGAAAAGUUUGACCUGAAACUUGAAUGGCAAAAUGACAUGAGAGGGAAAAGAAAAUUUUGUGUGUAUUUAGAAUUUAUGAUAUAAAACAUGAAAUAAAAUACAUGAUCCUUUUAGAUGUUAAACACGAGACAAAAAUUAUAAGACAUGAAUUGCACUUCUAUCUUUUUGCAGAUAUAAAUUUUAUUUUAUUUUUAAUAAUACUGAUUAUAUAAAAUAUUUGUUUCAUUUUUUCUAUAAUCAUCCUUUUUUAUUAUUUUUUAAAAAUUAUAUAAAUCAUAAAUAUUUUAUUUUAAUUAUAAUUUUAAAUUAAGUUGUCAAUAAAUGGAGCAACCGAUUACUCUUUUAAGUUAAAACGGUUGGUUUAGCUGCUGGCAGCCAAACAACGAGGGGCGCUUAAUAUUGAGCCCCUCUACCAUGCAGGCCUUAAAGUCCCGGUAUAGUAUUGGUAGCCACAAUUAAGGAGAAUAAAAGAAGCAGUAAAUAGUAAGGGUUAUUUUUACUUACCUCCCCUGAGGUUUCACGUAAUAACAAUUUAAUAAAAAGUAUGAUGGUAUUAUUACAUCCCUCCCCUGCUAUUAGUAUUUCUGUCAGUAGACCGUUUAUGAGCCGAAAAAUGACGAAAAUACCCCUUAAUGGCUUAGAGGUACAAUUUCCCAGUUGGUGUGUUCUUCAAGUUCUAUUGAAGCCCUGAUUACAAAACCGAAUCCAAUCUCCGCUCGACGAAUCCGAUCAUUUUGGAGUCACAACCCGAUGCAAGGAAUUUGUUUCCGCUCCCAAUCUUUCUUUCAUCGAAGGCGUUGCCACUAAGGAUAUCCACAUCGAUCCUUUUACGCUGCCCUCAGUCCACAUUUUUCUCCCCAAGUUUGCACUAAACCAUCCCGAGCCUGACUCCAGCCGCAAUCAAAACCUAAACCGCGCGCGAACUCGAAGAAUGCAGAGGCGGACCUACCACGCGACCUGCUUCAUCUGUGGAGGAACAGCUACGGCUUCCCGAAUGCGGCGGUGGCUGUGAGGAAAGAGGAGUAUCAGAGAACCAGCUACAGCGGCCACGGCAGUGCCGACGAGGAAGCGAUGAGUUUGAAUGGGAAAUAGGAGGGGGAAAUGGGAUGCAGAAUUAAGAAGCGUGGAAAAAGAGUACGAUGGGGACCACGAUGGGGGCCACGAUGGGGACCAUUUCCACUUGAGGCUUCAAAAUUUUCUUAGUGAAAAAUAGCUAGUAUCCACUAGCAGCACUAUAGCAAAAUUGUUUUGUUUGUGGGUUUAGUUGCUAUUGCUUUUUUCAAUAUUCAAAUAAGACGGUGUGGCGUUUCCUUCUAGAAAUCAUUGCUUCGAUCUUCCCUUUUUUUUUUUUAACCCCUCCCCCCUUUAAAUAAAGAAUUCAUUUAGCCACCACGAAUGUGCACAGGGGGUAUGUGCUGGUGGAUGUGAAUAGGAGGAAACUACCAGUAAUGUUGCAGUUCCACGGUAGCGGGUGGGUGAGUGGGGGAAUCGCAAGGCUCUGUGAUGUGAUUGUUGUGGUGGUUGGGUAAAGGUUGGCGCCGGAGAAUCAGUUCCCCGCUGCGUUUGAGGAUGGGAUGAAGGUGUUGAAUUGGUUGGGGAAGCAUUUUUUAAUUGUUUUUACCUUAAAUGCCAAAUACUAGCCGGGAUUAAUGGGGUAUUUUUGUCAUUUUCUUGGCUCAUAAACAGUCAACUGACAGGAAUACUAACGGCAGGGGAGGGAUGUAAUAAUACCACCAUACUUUCUGUUAAACUAUUAUUACAUGAAACCUCAGGGGAAGUAUGUAAAAAUAACCCUAAAUAGUAAAGACAGCACUGCAAGUUUGCAACAUCAGCAAAACCAACGUAAUAAUGACCAAGCUAAGUGAUAUCAGCAAGGGUCAAAAUUGCAUCAACAGGGAGAAAAGGUAUGGGCCACAAAAGCAGCGAUACAAGGAAGGUUCACUAGUUCAUACUUUCUAUUAUGCAAUUAUUUUAUUUAUUUAUUUAUUUUUUUACACUACUAAUUUCUCAAGAUUAUUUCCAUUGCACAAAUGUUUCAAGCGUUACAAUCAAGGACAACCGUGUGCUUAUGCUAAUUCAAAACCAUCACAUGCACUCUUUAAAAAUUUAAAAUAAAAUUAAGUAGUACUGAUAAUAUCUAGCUAUAUGUCUACCAUAUCAUAUCUUUAUGAAAGAAAAAAUGUAACAGAAAUAAGCAGAGCAAAGGAAACUGCCAGCAUAAUCAAACUCCAGAGCUUGGUUAUGUUUCACGCUAUUAUUCUUCUUAGGAUUUGCUUAGAGGUAGGACAAAUAAAUUUCUUUGCUUCUCAUAUAAUGGGAUGCAAUAAAAUUUUUAAUUAAAUUUUAACUGGAUUGUUUUUAAUAUCUGUAUUCCUUUUCACAUUAUUUAUAUAUGUUAUUUUCUACGCACUUAUCAUUAUUCAUUAGUCACCAAAUUGAGUUGAAAAUUUAGCCCUAUAUUUUGGAGUAUAUUCUUUGUGUUUUCAAAAGAUUGGGGUAUAUUUAAUUUUUUUGUUGUGAAGAUGAAUAUGUAUGGUAUAAUUACAAAUUGUCGUAAUCGAGGCUCGACUCUUCGGUUAUUGUAAAUGUUGUAUUUGAUUCCAAUGUGGCGAUGUAAUAUUGUUCUUUCUCGGACCUUCUAAUGCAAUCUACCAAUUUUUUGUUUAAAGAAGAAAUAUUAAUAUAUGCAUAUCAAAUAUAUAGUUUGCCAAAAAUACUAAAAGCUAUUUUUACCUCAUUUGAAUUCUUUCUUAAUAAUUUGCAGAAGAAAAGUUGUUUACCGACUUGAUUUAAUUAAUAAUUUUGAGGGAAAUUAGAUAAAAUUAUGUAGAGACACUAAUGGGUUGUCCUUGCUUACAAUGCUGGACACGCUAACAAGAAGAAAAGUUUACACAAGAUUAAAUCGUAAAAUUUAAGUGGGCUUCUUUUUUUACUAUUUUAUGGACAAAAGAAGAAGAAGAAAAAAUUAACGCUAAAACUCAUAUGUGCAGAAAGAAAGAGAAAUGACAAAAUGUACAAUGAAGUUUUUGAAUAUGAGUCUACCUACUGUGUGACCCAAAAGAACCGUAGCUGGAUUUCAUAAACAAAAGAGCUUUUAAAAUUACAAUAGCAUGCGCAAAAUAUUAAGCUUUUUCUUCCCAAUCCCAAUGUAUCUGUACAUAAAUUCUCAAGUUCCUUUUCAUGUCCACAAGAAUCCAAUCAAAAUUCUAUUUCACUUUCAUUGCUAAAAGCCAUAUAUUUCAAGAUAUUUUUUUAUUCAUAAUCUUAGCUAGAGGGAUGAAAUGAUCAAAUGAUCGGGACCCCCCCCCCCCCCCCCCCCCCCCCCCAACAUGCAUAUUUAUUUAGGAAGAUGGGAACAACUAGCACCUACCGAGGCUUGCACGCAACCAAACACGGGAAAAAUGUUUGGCAAUGUGCACUUUGUUUGAAUAAUAGUAUAUUGACCCCAUUUCCAAUUAUAUUACAACAUUGUUCUCUCCACUUUUUGCCAAUAAUACAGUACUAUAUGGCUUUGAUUUAUUUUUUAUUUUUUCACUGCACUCAUGCACUGAAGUUCAAAUUACUGGUGAAUAGGACCCCACAACUGAAACAUAGAAGAGAGAGUUUCAAGUCUCAAUUAAAAUAUACAAAAGAAAUUUGUACUUGAAGAGCUCAUUUCUUCAAACCAAUAUUUCUAGCUAGCAAAGGAUGAAAGGAAGGAUAUUACUUAUGAGGCAAUAUUUUCCAACAAAUGAGGCAAUAUUCUAUUACCAUUUUCACUACCAAGAAAAGAGAGGAUAGAAAAAUAGCAUUUUUUUUCAGUUUGGUGAUUUCGAAUAAAAUUCUUUGCUUUUACACUUUAUUAUUAUUUUUAAAAUUUUUUUUAAAUCAAUAAUUCUUAUUUUUGUUCUGCUGAAUGUGUUUCGUCAAUUAUAUGAUCAUAUGUUCAAAUCCCUAUAUUAUUAACAAACCCACUAAGCGUUAAUGAUUUUUUUUUUAAUGAUAGUCGAGUUGAUUUUUUUUUUUUUUUAAUAAUAAGAGUCGAAGUUCAAGGUUCUCUUUUAGGAUUGUUUACUUCUUAGAUUGGGAAAUCAGAAUUAGGAAUCGAAAUAAUUAACAAUGUUCACUUCACAAAAUAAGAGUGAGAAUCGGAAUCAUGUGGUUCCCACAAAUUUGGGAAUAAUUCCCAUAGAUUUAACUCCCAAACAGGGAUGGAUGCAGCUUGUCAAGCCCCCAGUGGCCAAAAAAAUUCUAAAAUUAAAAGAGAAAAAUAUUUAGUUUUUUCUAAUUAGCCCCUAUUAAAUUUAUUAAAAUAAUCACUAUAAAUUAUAGACCCCUAUAAAAUUUAAACUUUAACUUUUAAGAAUUAUAAAAUUUUAUAUUUUAAUUAAAAAUAAUGAUUGUCUACCACCCAAAAUAUUUUAUAUUCUCAAAAAUAUGAUUAAUUCUUCCAGUUUCUAUAAUAAUAGUAGAGCGAACGUUUUUAUUAAUGAAACUCGUGAAGAAUCAUCUUUGGAAUCGGAUGGGAUAAAUGAUAGUUUGGUUGUUUAUAUAGGAAAUAAUAAAUUUAAUAAUAUUAAUAUUGAGUCUAUUGCAUAACAUUUUUAAAAUAUGAAAAUGCAUAGAGAAUAAUUACAAAUGUAUUAGCAAAUAUUUUAUAUAUUCAAAAAUUUUUUUUCAUAUUUUACGAUUAUCUAAUUUUUAGUCCCCGGUAAAUUAUUUUUCUAAAUCCACCACUGCUCCCAAAGGGGGUUAGGAAUCAAACUCUGAUUUCUGAAGCUACCUAUUUAUCCCAAUUAAAUUUUUAUAAUUCCUAAAUUGUCUUCAAUCAAAUUCGGCUACUUUUAUAUUUUGGUCUCUACAAAAUCAAUUGAAAUACCGACAAAUUUUGUAUUAUUCGCAAAUAAAUCCUUUAUUAUUUAAUAAUAAUAAUGAAUCACUGGACGGCUCACGAUCAGUGUCACCGACUUUGAACAGCCGCAAUCCCAUUUUUGCACAUAUUUUGCAGUAAUGGCUAUGAUUUUGCUACUUGUCCAAACAUUUCGCAUCAGCUAGAUUUGGUCCUCACAUUCACUUGAUCUCAAAGUAAGCAAAUUUUGUUAAUGUCGGAACAUAAUUUGAGUUUUUUAAAGCUCAGAGAAUGAAUUUGAUGACAUUAAAUAAUGUUUCUAAAAAUAAAAAAUGCUAUCAUUAAAUUUAUUACUAUUAUUAAAUUUAUUAUUUUAAUUAUUGUUUAUUAUUACUACUAUCAUUAAUGUCAUUAAUAUUGUUAUUAUUUUUUAUUUUGAUUAUUAUUAUUUUCAUCAAUUUCAUCAUCAUCAUCAUUAUCAUGAAAAUUUAUUUAUUUUUAUUGUUUUAAUUUACUAUUAUUGUCAUUACGAUUAUUAUUUUUUAGUUUUAUUAUUAUCAUUUUUAUUCUUACUACUACUAUUAUUAUUAUUAUAAUAUAUACAAAUAAUACUUGGGACAAUAAGUAAUAGAGGGCAAUUUAGCAACUUACAACAACCCAUUCCGAUUCUAAGAUAAAAUAAAUACAUCAAUGAGAAUAUAUUUCAUUUUGAUUCUGAUUCUUGUAGUUCAAUUUAUUCUAAUUCUAAUUCGUUAUUUCGAUUUUAGUCUAUUUCGAACCCUGAUAUGAAUUUAAUUGGGCUCUAAUAUUUAGGCCCGAGCCUAACCAUUAAAUUCGAGUCAAAGGCCAGAAAAUUCAGGUCAAGUCAAUUAAACUAAAAGUUGAGACGAGUCUUCCUUGCAUAUAUAUAUGUUUGCAUCUUGAUUUUUAUUUUUAUUUAUCAUAUAAACUCUUCUAUAAAUUUAUUAUCUAUAUAUAUAUAUAAUGUUAUGUUUAUUUGUCACUAGUCGAAAUGGGGAAUGGUUUACUUGACUUACAAAAAUCCAAAUCGGAAUAGACUGGAAUUCCAUUGAUGUGUUUAUUUUAUCUUGGAAUUGGUUUCGAAAUAAGUUAGAUUGUAACAAAUUACUAAAAAGUACUUAAUAAAUUAUUAUCAUAAUUAUUAUUUUAUAUUUUAAUUACAAUGAUUAUUUAUUCAAAAAUUAUUAUUAUUAAUAAUUAUAAUAUAUAUUAAUAAAAUCAUAAACCUAUCAUUUUUCUUUAAAUUAGUUUAUAAAAAUCGACCAUGUUCCUUUACCGAAUGAGAAAUUGGGUAUAAAAUCAUAAAUUUAAAAUUUAACUAAAAAUGAUAAAUCCGAACCCGAAAACAUACAUACAUACAUAUCAAUUUUAUCUUUAACUUAUUUAAAAAAUAAUGUUAUAUAAUUAAGAUAUAAACAACAAUAAAAAAUUAUAAAAUUUAAAAUUUAUUAAAACUACAUCGUUUCCAUAUAAUAUUCAUUUCUUUUUUAGGUGAAAGCGGUAAAAAAGGCUCGUUCUCAAAUCUCAAUGGCACCAUAGAAAUCUAUGACGAGAAAGACAAAAUGAAAAAUUAAAACAGUACCUAUUCGUCAUUCUAUAAUGUCAAAUCUCUCUCAAUUCUCCAAACAUGCAAAGCCGAAAUCCGCCAAAUCCGAACCCAAAUCUGCUAGCACGUAGGUCGUCCAACCAUCGUAAUCCGAGGUGCAAUAUCGGAUUCCAAACAAUAUGCAUCUCAUUUCAGAUCAGUAAGUCAAUGAGUUCAGUUGACCUCGAAAACAAAUUGUUUUGCAGCUACAUGACCUCGAUGAGUUCGAUUAACGAAAAUGUUGUAAGUGCAGUUUUUGAUGGGUCAAAUCAAUUUGGUAAUUUUACAAAUUUGUUCUUUUGCAAAUUUUACAAUAGCCUUUUCAAUUUUGCUUGUUUUAGAGGAAUCUCAUUUUGUUAAUUUGAUUUUUGGUGGCACCUAUCCGUGUUGUUGACAUGCCCACUUGCAAAUUAGUUCGUUGAUCAGUCAGUUAGAUGGUGAUUCUAUUGAAGAUUGCUUUUUGGCAUUUGUUGCCCAAAACACAAGAAAAAUUUAACCAAAAACAGCAGCAGAUCAUCCCAAAUACAGUAGAAAAUUUGCCCAGAAACAAAAUCAUAUCAAACCCAAAAAUUUUCUGCAACUUCACAUAAUUCUCUGUCACUUCAAUUAUAUUUGAGACAAAAAUCCACUUUCAGUUUCAGAAUUGUGAUCCCUUACACUUAAUUUAUCUGCUUGUGUCUGAUGUAUAUUUUCAUUUGUUUAUUAUCCCCAUCCAUACAUCCAUCCGUGAUCCACCACACAUUUGUUUAUCAACCAAAAUCAAUGCACACAAUAAUACAAACUCAAGAUCACAACAGUUAGCAUAACUCAUAUAGCACUGUAUAUCGUUCACCCACACUCGGAGCUUUUCCUAAACUAUGUAAUCACUCAUUUCAUUGUUUAAGACAACAUAAGUCACCUCACGUAGCACCGCAAUCAAAUACACUUCAAUUAGAAAUGAAAGCCAUGGAACCUAAAAGUAUGCAGCAAAAAUAUACAUGCCGAAAUCAAGAUUAUGAAAACUAAUUCCAAUUUUUCUUACUUGAUUGUCUAGUUCUUGCUGAUAGGCAACUUUAUUUCCCCCAAUUCUAUUUCUUAGGCCAAGGUGCUCAACCUGCAUUAAAUACAAAUCUACACAGAAUUAUGAAAAUAUCAAGUCAUAAAAUAUUUAAAUAGAUUAUAUCCACAGGAGCAGCAGAAAGGCUUCCUUGAAACAUAACUCUGAUUAAUACUACAAAGAAAGGAUAGUGUUUCGAUUGCAUUCAUUUUCAUACCUCAUAUUUGAAUAAUAGAACAUAUACAAACUUGUUAUUUCUGUCAGGCAUUUCAACAAAUUAUUUGAACACUCUACUUGGAAAAAUUCCAGCAACGCAUCGGCGUUAACUAACAAUGUGUAGGAUCCAAUCACAAAUUUAACACAUCGGCAAAUCACUCAAAAAUAAAUAGAUAAAAAUAGAACCACUAACAAAGAAAUUUUUCUAAGUGGAUUUGUAAAAAAGGAAACUACGGCUAUUGGGCAUAAGUGUCAGCAAAUCAGAUAGAAUAAACUAGAGAAAUUAUAAGAUACGAACCAAAUGAACAUUACAUAAUUCGAAAAUAUGUGUUUUCAGAACAGGACAUAUAACUUGUAUUCAAGUAACCAUAUUACAAGCAAAAUAAAUCAAUUAAUCUAAUUUAUCCAUAUUACUUGUAAUAAAAAGAAAAAAUCAUAUCAAAGUCUAGUGCAUGCUCCAUAUAUAUAUAUUUACUGUGUCUUGGUCAAAUAAAUUGUAAACAAAAGAAAAAAAAAACACAUGUUGAAGUUAACGACAAUGUGAAUGUGGUAGAUGAGAAUCAGUGGCCUGCAACUUGCCUUAUAAUUAGUGAUUUGCCGUGGUUCUCUUCCCCUCAAUAGGAUUAAGGGCGGCAGCAAUGACUUAUGAUCAGAGGAUUAUAUGGUUAUCAAUCGCCGACGCUGAUUAGGUAUCAAUUGCCCACGCCGGGUAGUUAUCAUCGACCCAAAACCGCUUCACGAACAAGAACUUAGCCCGGCUCUCUUCAAGGACGUCGUUGUAGGGCUUCUUCUUUUUCGCGUCAAGCAACUUCCAAAGCAAUGAUUGGCAGGAAAAGAGUAUUAGAGGAAAACAAAAUCGCGUUAGCCAGCAAACCCAAACACUUUGCACAGGAACUUCUUAAUUCCGUGAACAAAUGCAGAAAUUAUGACCAUGAAAGAAAACUAUGCAAACCCAAACACUUUGCACAGGAACUUCUUAAUUCCGUGAACAAAUGCGGAAAUUAUGACCAUGAAAGAAAACUAUGCAAACCCGAACACUUUGCAGCGAGUUCUUAACAAAUUCUAUAAUGCUUAGGAAUUUGAAAUUUUGACAUUUGUGGUUUUUUAUCCAGUCACUUUUUCAACCAUUCAUUCACUAUUGAACACAGGCCCUAUUUCUUUGUUCAAUAUAUCUUAAUGCAGAUCCCAGGUUGCAAACGUGUUAUGUUAGGUACUUUACCAGAAUGGGGCGUAAAUGACUCAUCCUAUGAGAAAUUAAUUAAGUAUUUAAGUUGCAAUCAAAUAGGUUAUCUCCAAACAACAUACUGGAGAAGCUCAUGAGCUACUAUUACUUUAUCAAUUCUCAUAAUGCUCUACUCCUUAAUUUGCACUACUCCAAGUAGUGCAUUAUUUUAAAAAUAACCAAUUAUCCAUCUUUAUCUUUCUUGUAUACAGUUCCCAAAAUUGCUUAGAAAGAUAUAUAUAUUUUGGUUUAUUUUAAUUCGAUCUCUACCAUAUCCAAAAGUAAUUUGAAGUAUCCUGGUACAACUGAUUUAUGGGAGAUCAAAGAUAUUCGACCAAAAUAGAUAGAUCUAUAAAUGUAAUCACUAUGGGCUUCAUUUCUAGCCUUUACAUUCAUUUUACCACAAUGUCAAAAUGCAAUGAGCAUUUGGCUUUUGUUCCUUUGCCUUGUGGUUUUCCAAGUUGUUUUUCUAUAUUAAACGAAUUUCACACAUACACUUUAUCAUUACGAUGAGUGAGCCCAAUGUGCUCUCUCUAGCCAACUUAGCUAUAUGUCUCUAAAUCUAAUAUGCCAAAUUUUGGCAUGUACAUCAUCAUUGCAAGAUGAUGCAUAGUGAACAACUUUCCAUAAAAUCUCUUUUCAAAUUUGGUUAUACAAACACCUAAAAAUUAAGUAUCCUAAUCUAAGAAUGUCAACAAUAUAGACCAAGGUUUUUGAUGAAUUUUCGAUGUACAAUUCUUGAAAAAUAAGGACCAUGCAAUACCAACUUGCAUAUGCUUAUACCCUUGAUUUCUAGAACAAGGAUAUCCUCAUAUGUAUCCAUCUUUUCCUUUUGACAAUUACAACGGAAAAACAUCAAAACCUUUUUGUGAUCUCUAAUCAUAAGGUAUGGCUACUUAGUAUAUUUCUCCAAAACGCUUACGCACAAUGUCGUUUCAACUUAAUGAGUGUCGUGCUUAUCACGUGAGUUUAUCAAGCCUUUUAUCAACUGAGAAGUGGGUGUUUGUAUUCACCUUAUAACCAACAAAUUAAGUACUAGAAAUAUUUUUUAAAAAUGAGUGUGAAAAAUAUUUUGAUCAUUUGUUGGAUUCAAAUAUCUUCACUUUUUGGAAAAUUAUUGAAUUGUCUUGUCCUAAAUAUGUAUGCACAAAGAGCCUCUUUCCUAAGUUCAUGUGUACUUUUGCUUAACAAUAAGAAUAAGCGAAGAGAGAAAGAUGGGCCAGUUUAUCAUCUUCGUUAUCUACCUCCAAUUUCUUUUUUCACUAACGUAUGCAUCGGUUAUUUGGAAACCUUCAUCUGUGCACUUUCCCGACAUUCCUGCUACUUACGGUAAAAUUUCGGUUUUAGCUCCUCCAUAAUUUGUUUGUUUCUUUGGAUAAAUGCAAUAUAUAUUGUUGUAGAUUUUUUUUUUGUUCUUUACUUUUCUUUUAGAUAUUAAUAAAAAGGGCAUAUGUAGAGCUCUCCAUGUAGCGGAUCCUGCAAACGGUUGUUCCAUAUAGCAACCCUGUUGUUGCUUUUAAUGGAACAAUCGACUUUGUUUUAAUAGUUCGUGGUGUGCAAUUACGACACUACAAUCCAGAAUGAUCAACCCGCAAGUUAUCAAGAUGGCAAUUGUGUACGAUGAUGAAAUAAACGGCCAAAUGAAUUCACGUAUAUAAUAAAAAAAUCCUUUAAAAUUAUUUAAAAAUUUUAGAUUAUUAAUUUGUGUAAAUCUUAAUUUUUUUUUUGUAUAAUUAGUGUAUAUAAAUCUAGAUGGCAUAAACAUACAAGCCGCGUAUGUUUUGUUCAGUGCCGGUCAAUAUCUAAAGAGCAUGCGCGGGGGGAAGCUGGUGAAUGUUGUUUAUUUCCUCUAUCGAAAUCUUCUAUACAUUAGUAUUGGCUACUAGUGGUGGUGCUGCCACCAAUAGUGUGGGUAGCAUCAUUCACUAUUUGUGCAUGUAUGGAAGGUCAUAUUCUUGGAACCAAUUCACCCAGUCCUGCGAUGAUGUCUAGUGAACGCAUGGCCCAGCUUUGUGUUCACUUCUGAAACUUCGAACCAAUAUGUUGGAGACUCAAUGUGUACCAUUUGCUCUUGAAGAUUAUCUCAAAGUACUUCCCUGCACACACGGUAAAUUUUACCUCGUCAUGCUCUCGAGUCUUUUAGAUUUUACCGUGUGUGUAAGGAAGUACUUUGAGAUUUUUCCCCCUUUUGAUAAUCUUCAAGAGCAAAUGGCACAUAUCGAGCCUCCAAUAUAUUGGUUCGGAGAUUCAUAAGUGAACACAAAGAUGGAUCAUGCGUUCACUAGACUUCUUCUUUGUUGCUGUUGACUCUGCUCUUGCAUCAUCGCAGAACUGGGUGAAUUGGUUGGUUGUAAGGUGAUGGAGGAAAUAAACAAUAUUCUCCAACUUCCCCCCGCGCAAGCUCUUUUAUAUAUUGACCGGCACCGAAUAAAACAUACGCAGCUUGUAUGUUUACGCUCUCUAAAUUUAUGUACGCUAAUUAUACAUAAAAAAAAUUAAGAUUUACAUAAAGAAAUUAAUAAUCUAAAAUUUUUAAAUAAUUUUAAAGGAUUUUUUUAUUAUAUACGUGAAUUCAUUUGGCCGUUUACUCCAUCAUCGUACACAAUUGCAGCUUGAUAACUUGUGGGUUGAGCAUUCCGAAUUUUAAUGUCGUAAUCACACACGCCACGAAUUAUUAAAACAAAGUCGAUUGUUCCAUUAGAAGCAGCAACCCUGGUUGCUAUAUGGAACAAUCGUUUGCAGGAUCCGCUACAUGGAGAGCUCUACAUAUGCUAUUUUUAUUAACAUCUAAAGGAAAAGAAAAGUAAAGAACAAAAAAAAAUUUCUACAAUAUAUAAUUACAUUUUUCUAAAGAAACAAAUAAAUUAUGGAGGAGCUAAAACCAAAAUUUUACCGCGAGUAGCAGGAAUGUUGGGAAAGUGCACAAAUGAAGGUUUCUAAAUAACUGAUGCAUACGUUAGUGAAAAAAGAAAGUAGAGGUAGAUAACGAAGAUAACAAAGUGGCCUAUCUUUCUCUCUUCGCUUAUUCUUAUUGUUGAGCAAAAGUACACAUGAACUUAGGAAACAGGCUCUCCGUGCAUACAUAUUUAAGACAAGACAAUUCAAUAAUUUCCUAAAAAGUGAAGAUAUUUGAAUCCAACAAAUGAUCAAAAUUAUUUUCACUCAUUUUAAAAAAAUAUUUCUAGUACUUAAUUUGUUAGUUGUAAGAUGACAAACACCUGCUCUAAACGGCAGCGUUUUUCUCAAUUCAUCAAAGGCUUAAUACUCACGGCAUUUGUAUCAGCGUUUUGGAGUAUCUUGGCUUUAAUAGAUCACGCGAGCAAUCACGUGAGCAUCAAUGAAGCCAAGUUCGUUAUAACAGAAUCCUUGUAUACGUGGCAUUAAGUUGUGCAUUUUGGGUUGUUAAAGUCGUUGAGAAACUGGUUUAUAAGCUGCUGGCUUUCAUAGAAGCAACAACAAUGUAAGAGAGAUUUGAGGGAAAUUGUAGAGAGAAAGUGAAUACUUGUUCUUUGUUCUCGAACUCUUUGUAACAAGCUUCUUGAAUCUUUCAAUAAAGCCUGCUGAUGAAUACACCCGUGGAUGUAAGCCAUUAAUGGCUGAACCACGUUAAGAGCUCUGUGUUCUAUUGUUUGUUCUCAGUUUUCUAAUUUGGCUAAUAAUCCUUUGCAUUGAGUAAAGUCAGGUUUAGUUGAUUCUCUAAAAUCAGUCUAAUCUGUCGAAUGCAACUUGGUUGAUCUGGGUAAAGGGUCCUGGGAGGAUCUGGUUCUGUUGUGUUAAUUGAACAAAUCACAUUCUACAUAAUUUAAAUACCCGUAUCUUAUUUGAAGGGGAGAAAGUUAACCCGAGUAUUUCAACUACAAAAGCCCAAGCAGUAACGGAAGCCUUUCAAAAGGUAAAGCAUGUGGAGAAAACUCAAGCUGAAAAGCCAAAAGACAAGAGGAAACAGCAGUGGACUCCCCCUCCCCCCACAAAAAUAGAAGCUUUAAAGUCAAUGUGGAUGCUGCUAUAGAUGCUGAAGCUAAGACAGCUGGUUUAGGAGUUGUUAUUAGAGAUGAUGAAUGAAGAGUUGUGGCAUCUGCAACUAAGCCCUCAAGGCUAAGAUGUGGUGUGUCGUUUGCAGAAGCAGAGGCUACAGAAUGGGGGCUUCAAGCGGCCAAAGAGGCAAAUUUGGCAUCAGUUAUUAUUGAGACAAAUUCUGAGGAGGUAGCUAACCUUGUUAACAAUAAAAAAGGAAGCAAAACUGAAAUAUUUUGAGUGACAACAACAACUAUAGACAUGAGUUUUGAAUACCAGAAUGUUAUUUUCUAGCAUGUCCAUAGAUCUAGCAAUGAAACAGCUCAUAGGCUUGCUAAAUAUUCCAUUAGAAGUGGAGUCUCGAAUGUCUAGGUGGAUUCUUUUCCAGCUGACAUUACUUGUAUUCUCAAUUCUGUUAAUUAAUGGUUAUCUUUUCUUCAAACAAAUAAAAAAAAUACCAAUAUCUUAAAUUACUACCACAUGACGGACUUGAAAAAAAAAAAAAGGGGCAUCUCAACGAAAAGAGAAGGACGGACAUGCAACGAUAGAGACUACUAAUCCUCUUCUUGCUCUUAGCUGUCUGUUAAGAAAACCCUAAAUUGAUUGAGAACAAAAUGAAAAUUAUUUGUGCAUUCUUCAUUUUUUGAAUGGGAACAGAGAUGACACUUAGAAUCAAUUAAUCAAUUAAUCAAACCCUAAAUUGAUUAAAAGAACAAUUAAUUCAAGCAUAACCGUAAAAUUAUCUAAAUUGAAAAGAGAGGUAAAAAGAUAAUCAAAAUUUUAGAAAACCUCAUAUUAUGCAAUUAAACCAUUUCAUAUCUUCUGACAUGCACAAAAAAUCAGAAAACAAAUCCUUAAAGGAGAUCGAUGCUACGUUUAAAAUAACAUACUCAAUCUGGAAAUUAACUAUAUAAAUUUUCAAUCUUCAGGAGGAAAGUAAACUACUAUUAAUUUUCAAUUUUCAGAAUAUGGGGGCAUGAAAAAACUCAAUAGUACAGAAUACUACUUCAGCCUAAGAAAUUAAAACUUGCAUGAAAGCAUUUAGUCUACUACUCUACUCGGACCUUGUUCUGAACUGCAUGCGUAAUCACUGGUUUCAUUGUCCAAGGUUCUGAAUUUACAAAAACCCGAUGAAAAGACAUCAAAAGUCAGCCCCAAUAGCGUGAAAAUCAAAUAUACUUCAAUUAGAAACCUAAAAGCAUGCAGCAAAAAUGUUCAUGCAAAAAUUACAACUAUGGAAAGACAGGAAAACUAAUUCCAAUUCUUCUUACUUGAUCCUCCAGUUCUUGCAGAUAGGCAGCCUUUUUUUUUUUAAUUCUAUUUCUCAGUCGAGGACGCCCAGUCUACUUAAAUACAAACCUACACAGAAUUAUGGAAAUAUCAGGUCAUAAAAUAAUUCGUAAGAUUAUAUCCACAGAAGCAGUAACAAGGCUUCAUUGAAACAGAACUCCAACAGAGAUUACAGAGCAAGAUAGUGUUUGGAUUAAAUUCAUUUUCAUACCUCAUAUUUGACUAAUAGAACUAAUAAAAGCAUUUCAACAAAUAACUAAGACACUAUGGGGUUUGAUAAGAUGUAGCUCCACUCUUUUGAGAUUUACUACAUCUGUAUAGGUUUAGCAUUAUGAUUUUGUAUCAUAUGAACAUGAAGUUGCAAAACAUUUUAAAUUUUGUUGAUAUUCCAUUGGUAAAACCUUCAUUCAGCUAGAAGAUCCAAAUUCAUCAGUACCCAAAAACAAAAGAACACAAAUAAAAACCAAAUGAAGCAUAAGCAGAGUAAAGAAGAAGAAAAGAAUAUCAAUUUCCAGCACAUGUAAUUAAAAAAUGUAAGCAUCCUCAGAAUAUGGCACGCAUCUCCAAGAAAUACUGUAUAUCUAAAAAUGUUCUAUGAAUUUUGCAAGUUUCAUGUCAUCCAAAAAUAAUGAAAGUAUUUAAAUAGGUCUUAAAAUAAAAGCACGAAUACAGAAUUUCCAAGCAUGAGUUGAUCUUUGUAUUAAAUAGACAAGAAACUAUCUCUCACAAAUUUAUAACACAUACACCAGAAACGAAUAUUUGGCAAUCCAUCACAAUAACAACAGCUGAAUAUAGAGUGUGGCUUUUGCAUACAUACUGAAAUUACGUCACUUAAGCAGGCCAGAAUGUGGCUUAUUGGGCAAAAGCAGCAACUGAGACACUGAAACUGAAACUGACAGCAAGCCGGGAAGACCAAUAGUCCAAGAAACGAGAUGGUACAUGACGCCAGCUAGAAUAUGUAUAACACAAACAAAGCUGCAAAAAAAUGAAAACUUCUCUUUAUUAUGAUGGUUAUAGAUUUUUCUAAUAAGGAAAGUUUAGGAUGAAAUAGGUGGCGAGUAUAACAAAAGCAUCUACUUGUUAAGUAUGUUGAAGAUGACAUUUAAGAAGUACCUACGUGGAAAACAAAAUAAAAAUGGCUUAGAUUGAAUUGAUGUAGGACCAUUAAAAGAUGCUCACACACUGCUUUAUGCAUACACAAUUUAUACAUAAGGCAUCAAGUGAAAGCCAGAAAAAGUUCAAGCACAUGUUGCACAUUUAAUUAUCUACGAAGUAAUUAGGAAAACAGAGUCCUAAUGGCAAAAUUCAAUUAAGCAAUCCCAAAUUCCACCAUGAUUAUUAUAAUUUAAUUGUUUACCACUCAAAGAAAAAGAAGCAAAAUGACUAGAGCUUGAGAUUAUCCCUGAAGCUCUUUAAAGGCGCCUUUGAUAAAUCAAGAGCCAAAUCAAUUAUAAUGAUAAAUCAAGUGAAGCAGGGGGUGAGCAGGGCUGGUAUCUUGACAGUGGGGCCACUCACCAUGUCACCAAUGACCUCAACAACUUGAGCAUCAGGUCUGGGUACAAUGGUAAAACCAAAACUUAUCGUUGGAAAUGGAAAUGAGUUAAAUAUUUCCCAUAUUGGGACUGCUAUCUUGCACACGCUUAAUGACACACACCACAGUCUACAAUGUGUUGUAUGUUCCUGAAAUGUCGAAAAACCUAGUUAGCAUUUCAGACCUAGCCACUCAAAAUAACCUUGUCAUAAUCUUUACUAAUGGAAGUUGUAUUGUGAAGGACAAGUUGGGUAAGGUUUGGCUCAGUGGAAUUGACAAAGCUGGCCUCUUUGAGGUGAAAGGAGUCAAUAAAGUUGAUACACAGAGAGACAGACAUGAAGCUGCAUCCUCCUAUAGUACUGUAGUAUCUCUGUUGGCCUCAUUGAGAGAAUCUGUUGAUCUAGGUUCACGGCAGUCUGUUAAGAUAGAGUCAAGUCCUUUAAACUCUCAGUUAAGUUAGAGUCAGUUCCAAAUAAUGUUAAUCAAUUAGACAUUCUACAUAGAAGAAUGGGGCAUCCCAAUGAACAAACGCUGUUGAAGUUUUCUCUAAUUAUAAUGAAUUCAGAGGAAUCCAUAAAAUAAAGUCUUUACCCUUUUGCUGAGGUUGUACAAAUGGAAAAGGCCAUAAACAGCAUUACUCAACCGCUCUUACAAAACCAGCAAAUCUCUUGAACUUAUACACACUGACCUAUGGGGACCAGCCCUUCAAAUCUUCAAUAAUGGCAGCAAGUACUACAUGAAUAUUGUAGAUGACUUUACAAGAUAUACCUGAAUAUUUCCCUUAUCAGACAAAGCACAAACCACCAAUACCGUCAUCAUGUUUAGAAAUUAUAUUGAAAAUUACACUGACAACAGGAUUAAGUGCCUGCAAAGUGAUUGGGGUGGCGAGUUUAGACCUCUCAAAGUAAACAUCUUUAGGAAGAUGGUCAUAGUUCUUCUUAAACAUCGAGACAUGUGACAACGUGAUAAAUCAACAAUUAGGAAUGUUAUGUACUCAUGUUAAGAUGCAGCCAUCCAAGAGUGUCUAGAAAAGUUCCAGAUGAUAAUCAUAUUAGAAAAAACUUGUGAAGCCUUUAAUAAACAAGCCUACAAUGACUGAUAUUACAUUGAUUUAUCUGUUUACCUAGCCAGAAGCAUGGGAAGCAACCAAAAGAGAGAUCCUACCUCAAUGAAAGGCUCCCUGAUAUCAUCUCACUCAAUACUACUCUCCUGAAACAAAUUAUAUUGCAUGAUUAUCGUUCAUGUCAACGUGACAAUGCAAAGGGACCAUCAAAAUAAAGAGUGUGAAAUUCUUUUUGCACCAAAAUAUACUAAUGGGAUUUUAUUCGUGUAAUAAGUACUGAUCCACUCAUAUAAUUAAGGAAGACUACCAUAUCAAUAUUGCUAGGUACAUCUUACAGCAGCUAUCUCAGGUAAUAAACAAACAAAACUGAAUGACCUUGCAACAAAAUUUAAACCCCUCACCCCCAACCCAAUGCCAUAAACUCUUCACAUUUACAUCACAGUUUUAAAACUCUGUGUAUGCACAUAAGAAACUGAAAACAAAGUGUGCUGCAUCUUAGUUGAAACAAUUAGAAAUUGGAUAAAACUUUGCAUAAUUAAAAAUAAAAAUAAAUAAUCUCUAUCAACAUUGACCAUUUAAAUCAAGUAUCAGUAUACACUGACCUUUUGACUUAUUGUUCCUCUAGUUCUCUUGUUCUGUAUAUAACCUUUACCCCCUGCAAACAUAUAAGUUAUAGUUCAUGGCUAUGGAUAUUUGAAAAACAAAAGUGAAACGUCCUAAUUAUUACAAGCAAUUGAGGAAGCAGAUCUCACCGAAAUUGACUCAAAGACUUUGGAUACAGCAGGAGAGGUAGCCUUCCCCUCCACAAAAAGGAAAAAAUUAGAAAUACCAAUAACCUUGUGAUCCUGCAUAUGGUCUAUUCAAGGCCAGCAAAAGUGCUUGUUGUAAUACAUAUCUAGACAAGGUCAAACCAAUAGGAAGAGUACAUGAAUUGGUGCCAAUACCUGAAAUUUAGCAAAUUUAAAAUGAUCCAAAAGAAACAGAUUCUAAAUUUCUCUAUUGAGUGGGAAAAAAAACAGAGUAACGUCAUUGAUCACAGCCUGAUUUAAAAACUCCUCAGCCUGCAGUAUAAUUUCUAUUGAGUUCCAUUACAUUAAGGGACAUCAAUUACUACAUACUCCAGAUUUAUGAAUCAUAACUCAUUCUACAAGUAAAUUUAAGAAUUUCCUUAGAAAAUUAUGUUUCAUGUAUGAGGUAUAUCAUUAAAAUAUGGUGUACAUCAGCACACUUCCAUUCCACAUCUGCAUUUAGUGCUUAAGCACAUACCAACGUUUAAAACUCCAUAGAUGAGAAUAAUUGACUAAACUUUAAAAAGAGCAAAAAUAAAAUAAAAUAGUGAAAGUAAAAUGGAAUAUUCAUUUGCAAAUACUUAGUAAAAAAGAAAUUAUGGAGUAAAUAAAGCUAAUAGAAGAAACUUAACUUAAUCACAGAAGUGAAACAUAAUCAAAUUUCUUCAACCAAAACAAAAAAAGAAAGAAAACGCAACUUUGAAUAUUCAAGAAGCAAGAUCCAAAAUUGAAACAGACCCACUAAUUACAAUCGUCCAAAAAUUUAGGAAAAUAACUUAUGCCAGACAAAGAAAAACAAAAAGGAAAAAAAACAAAAACAAAAUAAUGUGUCUACUAUAUAAUAAAUACAAAAACAAAAAAGAAACCCAUCAAAGAUUUAAUCUUCAAAAACCCAUAAAGGGUAUGAAUCAAACCAAACGAAAAUGACAAGAAAAAGCUCACUUGGCUUUUAGAUCGGCUCCGUAAUUAAACUUCCAGUCUUUGAAAUAAGAGAAGGAAGGGGUGUUACUCCGGCCAAGAAUAUCAGUGCAACCACCGGAGGAGGAGGAGGAACGAACAGUGGUGGUGGCAGGGAGGAGGGAGGAGUCAAUGUCCAUUCCGAACUAAAAGCCAAGGAGACUGAGUGAAACAAAGUGAAGGAGAUAGAUGGUAUUAGAGGCCAAAGUGAAACUAAGCAAGAAGAAAUCAAGUAUGAUGGCAACGGCAGUUGUCAAAGAUAGAAGGACGGCAAGAUUAAGGGUUUCAGAAAGAGGGUUUGUGAAUGGCGAGAAGGAGGAAGAGAAGUAGCAUUUAGGGAUUUUGAUUUCUAAGUAGCGUUAUAACGUUUAACACUAAGAAAAAAGAAAGAAAGCUUUAAGUUGCUAAAACAGUAGCGUUUUGAUGGCAUUUUUUUUUUUUUUGGAUGAAUUGGGGCUCUAAGAAGAGCUAGAGAACAAUAGAACGGGAGUGAGAAACCCCGUAAGAGUCAUGCAAUAACAAAGCCCUAACGUUCAAAUGGGGGAAAGGGUAUACAGUAAGGCCUAGCGGAAUAGAAAAAGUGAGGUUCGCCAUAUAAUCUGCAACAAAAUUUGCUUCUCUGUAGAUGUGAGAGAUGGAAACAUGCUAAUCCAAUUUGAGAUAAUCUUUUAUAGCCUGGACCAAGGGAGCAUAUUCAUUGGUCAACACCGAAGGUCUAGCCACCAAUUGAGUAACGCAAAGGCUAUCCGUUUCAAUUUUCAAUCUGCGUAUACCAGAAUUCCAUGCAAGCUGGAUCCCUUGAUAUAAGCCCCAGAGCUCCGCGACAGUAACAGAGCAAGAACCAAUCAUCAUCCCAAAGCCUGUUAGCCAACGUCCUAAGUGAUCUCGAAUCAAACCACCUGCAGUAGAAUUCCCGUGAGACUUGUGAGCACCAUCCGUAUUCAGAGUACACCAGGGCCACUCAAGAGGAUGCCAAGAAAUCCACAUGUGAGUCCUAAUAUUCCUAGUGAGCAACGGGUGGUUAUGAAGCUUGUGAAUCUCCUCAACUCUUGUAUGGACAUCCACCAACAAAGCCAAAGGGUCCAACAUCAAUUUGUUAAAGAGAAACUGAUUACGCCAAUACCAGAUCCUCCAUAUCGCAACGCCAAAAAAAACAGCCCAGUUCGAAACAUUCCCUACCUUACUAUUAACAGCCAGAUUCGAGCAGAGCCAAAGAUGAAGCCAAGAAUUAAAGAAAUUGUGAUGUUUGCUUGUCGGAAUAAUGUUGAGCCAAAACUGCUUAACCAACCAACAAUCACGAAGAGCAUGCGCAAUAUCUUCACACACAGCCCCACAACGAUCACAACAAGGCGAGAUGGGUAAGUGCCGCCGAGCCAACUCAGCCUUAGUUUUCAAACCAGCGUGAAUCGCCUGCCACAAGAAGAUUCUCACGCGUUGAGGGCCUUUCCACUUCCAUACUAACUGCCAAUCUCUAUCUUCAGACUUUGGAUCAUACUUAGAGAGAGCCAAAUACGCUGAGCUUGUAGAAAAAGCUCCGUGUUUUGAAUGAGCCCAAAAGAUAAUGUCCAUGCCUUUCACGUGGGAAGGGGGGUGAAGAGCAACUAUUUGUAGAAUAAUAUGGUUGGGAAGAUAUCGAUCAAACCGAGGCCAACACCAAGCCCCAUUUACAUCAACAAGAUUUGCCACCUUACAAUCCAAAAUGCCCACAUGUAUAGUAUUUGUUGCGUAGGCGAUUAAGGGGACCGUAUCAGUGACCCAAAGAUCCCACAAAAAAUGAGUAGAUUGACCAUCACCCAAACUCCAGCGCCUGCUUGCGAGAGCCUCACUCCAAACCUGCCCAAGAGACUUCCACAAGUGAGAACCAUAGCGUGUUGGAAGGACGGGAGGCAAGUUAUAAGGAUCCACUUUGUACAUCGAAAUAAGGAUCUGGACCCAUAAAUUAUUCGGAGAGGAGAUUAUGCCCCAAGCUCGCUUCAUGUGUAAUGCCCUAUUCAUCAUUGCCAAAGACUUGAAGCCAAGACUGCCAGAAGCUUUAAGCUUGCACACAUUCUUCCAACUAACCAUGUUGAGCUUCUACUGAGGAGACGAACCGCUCCAAAUAAACCUCCUGCAAGCUCUAUCGAUUUUCUUACAAACCCCACGAGGAAGGGAAACAAUCUGCAUAACAUAGAUGGGAAUUGCCUAGAGAACUGACUGAGCUAGAGUGAUGCGGCCAGCCAAGGACAAGUGAGAGGCAUUCCAACCCGACAGCCACUUCUCCACCUUAUCGAUGAUCCCCUGAUACAUAUUGGUAGAAACCCUUGAAUGAUGAAGAGGGACCCCAAGGUAUUUGCCGAGGUCAGAAGUAACUGAGAAGCCAAGAAGACCCGAAAUUACAGAGACAUCUCUGGCACCUAUGUUCUUUGAAAAAUAAAGCAGAGUUUUACUUGUAUUAACUUUGGCAUUAGAACAAGCACAAAAUUCUGCUAACACUGUUGAAAUAACUCUAGCUUGCUCAAUUGUAGCCUCUGCAAGCAAAAGAAGAUCAUCAGCAAAAAAAAGGUGAGAUAAACGUGUUCCAUGGCGAGAUAACCCGAUCGGACGCCACUUUCCGGCACUAAUAGCAUUGUGAAUCCCAUGACUGAGCCGUUCGAUGCAAAGGACAAAGAAGUAAGGGGAUAAUGGACAGCCUUGACGAAUUCCUUGGGAAGGAGAAAAUUCAUCCGUAGCCUCCCCAUUCCACAAAACCCUCAUAGUAACCGAAGUGAUGCAUGCCAUAAUUACUUGAAUAAGAUCGGAAGGAAUGCGAGCUUCACGCAGAGUAUCACUGAUAAAUUCCCAACUGAGACGAUCAUAAGCCUUUUCUAAAUCAACUUUAAUAGCCAUAAAACCAAUAGAGCCCGUCUUCUUGCGGAUAGAGUGAACAACCUCUUGAGCAAUCACGAUGUUCUCUGUGAUAUGACGACCAGAGACGAAGCUAGUUUGAUGGGGCCAAUCAGAGAGGGUAAAAUAGAUUGAAGGCGAUUAGCCAGCAGCUUGGUGAUAGUCUUAUAGGCAACAUUGCAAAGGGAGAUAGGACGGUACAUUGUCAACGAGGAGGGGCUUUCUGUCUUAGGAAUGAGAGCAAUCAGCGUGGAAUUGAGCCCCAAAAGAAGAUAUUUGUCAUGGAAAACAUCUUUCACCAAACGACAUAAAGGAGAGCCCAUAGUGAUCCACUGCGUCUGAUAAAAAAUGGCAUGGAGGCCAUCAGGACCCGGGGCUUUCAGAGGGUGCAUGCCGAAGAUGGUUUGUUGAAUUUCAGCAUCCUCCACGCACUUAUUUAAGGUAUGGAGCAAGUCAUCCUCGAUAAGAGGAAAACAAUUUGGAUGGGGGUAAUGCUGAAGGUCAGGAGAAUCACAAGAGAAUAACGUUGAGUAGAACUGAAUGACAUGAGCUUUAAUUUCCUCUUUCUCAUAAAGCCAAAGCCCUGCAUUGUUUUGGAUGGCCGUUAUAUUAUUUUGUCUCCUUCUAGAAAGAGUUUUGUGAUGAUAGUAAGAUGUAUUACGAUCACCGAGAAGCAGCCAGUCUCUCCGAGAUUUCUGAAACCAAAUAAUUUCCUCUUGGGUGAGCACCUCUUCCAGAUCCGCUUUUAAUUGUUUCUCAAGAUUUAAUAACCCUUUAGAGUAAUAACUUUCUAAAGCCCGUUGAAUCCCUCCCAGACGAGCUAAUAAAUGUUUUUUCCGCCAAAAAAUAUUCCCGAAACACCGCUUAUUCCAUUCAGUAACCUUAAGACGAAAUUUAUUAGCAGCAUCUAAGUAAUGAAGAUUUUGAUCCCAGGAUUCAGACACGGAAUCUUUGAAACCUUCAUUGGUAAGCCAAGCCGCUUGAAACCGAAAAGGACGAGAGUUCAAAACUCUCGAAGACAAAUCAGUACUUCGCACCAGGAUAGGCCUAUGAUCAGAGUUCAAUUUCGGCAGAUGGAGCACAGAAGAAUUGGAAAAGGUACGAGCCCACUCACUGUUGCAAAUAACGCGAUCAAGGCGUUUCAAUAGGCUUCCACGAGACCAAGUAAAACGUUGAUGGCAUUUUUUUUAAUUAUUAAAACACAUCUUUUAUUUUUUAAAUAAAAUAAUACAUUAAAUUUGGGUCAAAUGUGGUCAAAAUCAUUUUUCUAUCAUACUUUUUUGAUAGAAUAAAUUUCUAUCACAAUUCUAUCAUAAUUUCAUGAUAAAAAAUAAUCUUAUCAUAAAACCAUCAUAAAUUCAUGAUAGUAAAUAUUUCUAUCAGAAGCCUGUCAUAAAUCUAUGAUAGAUUGAAAAUUCUAUCAUAAAUCUGUCGUAAUUUUAUGAUAUACCUAUAAUCUGUCAUAAAUUAUCCGUCAUUUAUUGCAUGUUUUCUUAUAGUGGUUUGACCCAGGAGAUAUAUCAGGAGUAUCAAAUGUGCAUAUAUAUUAAUUGAAAACAAUCAUUUAUGUUAAAAACCAAUUACAUAGAUGGUAAUAAUUUACUAAAAAAAAGUGAAAUAUAGCUCAACCAAUUACAUAGAUGAUGAUAAUUUAUUAAAAAUUUGUAGUAUUGCUCGACAAAUGACUAAAUUUUAGAGUACAUCAAAGGUAUUAUACUCAAUUAAUACAUGUAUCCAUAUGUGCAAUUAUUUAAAAAAAUCACCAUAUAAUUAAUAGUUAUAUUUAAUUAAAGUAACAUACCAGACAUGCAUUAAUUUUGUUUAGUACCUCUUAUAUAUACUCUAAAAUCACUCGUCUUCAAGUAUGAAGGAUGAAUCAUUGAAUCAGAGUUUGAUAUGAGAUAUUCUAAAUGUCUUUAUCACUUUACUGAACCUUUAAGUUUUCUUGCAUUUCAAUUUUAAUCAGAAAAUUUGAAAAUUAGCAUUCUUUUUUGGCAACAAUUAAUUAAAUGCUUUCAAAAGCUUCAUUUACAACCACAAAUAUCCCUUGUCCUUCUUGCACUUUUAUAAAAAUUAGAGAUGAGAUCAAUAAAGAUUGCAUAUUUUAUUUUACCAUUUUCUUAAUAAAUUCCAUAAAUACAUGCAAAAAAAACUGCUUUUGAAAUCAAGUACGGAUUGCCAUAAUUAAUAUCUCCAUAUAUAGACUAGUUCUAGAAAAUUUGACCAGAUGGGUAAUUAACUAACGUGUUCAUAUAGUACUUGGAAACAUAUUUGGUAUUAUUGCAUGGCAAGCCUUAUCAUAGAACAAAAAUCUUAUCAAAGCUUACUCAUAACUUUAAUUAAUUUCGCUAAUACUGAUGCUUGUAAAGUAAAAAAUGAGAUUUCUUUCCUUUGUGAAAAGAUAUUUUCUUUACUCUUCUACGAUAAAACAAACAACCCUCUUUCUCAAUUUUCCAUAACACAAACAUGAAAGCUCUCUUUUUAGAAGUGAGUUCUUCCGAGGCCUCCAGUAUCAUUCUGGCGUCCUCAUCAGAAGACACUCCGCCUAUGGAGAAGAGUGAUGAAAAUAAGAGAAUGAAAAUGAAACACGUCGUUGAACCCUCUGAUGAAUCGCGACGUCCCGAAUCAAGUUCCAGUCUUUUGCUUGAUCUAAGGCUUUACAACGAUGAUUAUUUUGUUCGUGGUUCAAGUCUUUUCAACAGUAUGAACAUGAUGAAUAAUAAUCAUUGCCAUGAAGAGAAUAAUGGUCAUCCUACUUCAAGUGAAAAGAAAUCAUCAGCGGCUAGGGUUUUUUCAUGCAACUAUUGUAAGAGAGAGUUCUGAACUUCCCAAGCCCUAGGUGGCCACCAAAAUGCUCAUAAACAAGAGCGUGCUGCGGCCAAAAGGCGCCAAGGCGUGGAUCAAGAUGUUGGUGCUGCUGCUUUUGGCAAUCAAUACUUUUCUUUCUAUUCUCCUUAUUAUUCAAAAUUCUCUCCGUAUUACGGUUCAUUUAAUCGGUCACUCGGGGUUAAAAUGAACUCCAUGAUUCACAAACACGCGGCCUAUGGUUCACAACCUUGGCCAUCUGCUAAUUAUCGCUUUGGCCCGGGAAGUUGGCUUGCUAGGCAAGGCAUUAAUCCGCAACAGACAAGGAUGAGAAUGAACGGUUUUGGAAUUUCGGGGCCAUCUUCGAGAUUUGGGGAAAGAGAUGUACUUGCUGCAACAAAUAUUAUUCACAAAAAUAACCCAAUUAGUGUUGAUUUUCUCCAACGAGGUGUCCCUUCAAAAAGCAAUCAUCAAGAAGAUCCAACAGAACUUGACUUAUCCCUCAAGCUUUAGUUAUUACUCUUCUAUUUAAGAUUCUAAAUGUUUUCACAUUGUAAAUAUUUAUCAAGUGAUGAUGAUUCUCUCCAGCUAGCUUAGAAAAUCAUCAAAACUUGAUAUUUCGUAUCAAGCAUUAAUUAUUUUUCCAUUUAAUAUACCCUAUUAUUGUUCUUAAUUUGUAGCUUCUUUACAUAAAUGAAAAGAUAAGGCGUUGUUAAUUGUUCUGCUUUACUUCGGUUAUUAUUUUUAUUUUUUAUAUUUUUAGAUUUUGGUUUGAUAUAAGUAUAAACUCAUUUUGCUUAAGAUUGGGGUUUACACUCUAAAAUUUACUUUGAAAAUUUUUUAAACACAUAAUUAUAAAAUUUAAAAUUUAAUUGUAUAAGAAUUAACGUAUCAAAAUGAAAAAAAAACAAAAUCCUCAAAUCCAAUAGUAAGAGUUUUGAGUUCAGUGCAUCAGUUGAUAAAAAAUAAUAUACUCAAUAACAAGUACUCUUGCUCCGGCUAGAGCUAUAUGUUGACUUCUCACAUAAAUAACUUUAUCCUUCUAAAUUAUUCUUUGUUUUUUUUUUUUUUCAGAUCCUUCUAGAUUACUUAUUACCUCACUCAGGGAAAAUAAAACUCUUAAGUUUUAUGUUGAAUGAAACAAUACCUACCAUUUUAAAUAAUGUUAUGUUAUGGCCUGUGAUACUCUAUAAUUUUAAAAUUGGGGUUCUAUGAUGUUAGGACCGUUAUGUCUAUUACUAUAACUAGGAAGUGGCAGCUCUCUAUUUAAACGUUGCUUUUGAUGGUAAUAGACAAGAAGUAAUUUUAUUUGAAUUUUUCUUUUCCUCUAUCUGACUUUCUCUUCUCUAAUCUUGUUUUUACUGUUCGUCUUCUCUUGAUCUUCUUCUAAUUUUAUUUAAAGUCUAGAAGUAACCUUACAUAUAAAAUUAUAGUUUUUCUUUUUGUGAUAUUUAUUUAAUUUUGCAGACGCAAUGGAUGAUUUGACGAACUCCGAACAACUUGACAAGAUAACUAUGAGCUUCGUGCAUGAGGAGGAGAAGAAUAAAGAAGCAACUACUACUUUUGGCUGAGAAAUUAGGUUUCAGAAAUUAGGUAGUCAGACGUUGCUGUUAGCGAUAUGAUUUUUAGCAAUUGGUUGUCCCUAUGUGUUAGCUUGAUCGUCUUUUAAUUUGGAGACAUAAUAUAAUAUAUCAUUUUGACAUGUUAAGUUACAGAUGGUGUUAGCAUAUAAAUGGGCAACGGGCCGUGCUACCGUCCAAAGAAGGAUCAUGAGGGCUCGUGGCCCGCACAGGACGGCUCACUGUCUGAUUCGUAUCUUAUCGUGCCUAUUUUUUUUUUUUUAUUAGAUCAUGCAGGGCACACAUGCUAGCUCACACGUGCUCUACCAAAACGUGCAAUGGGUUGUGCAUAAAAAAAUAUAUUAAUAUUUUUUUAAAGAGGGUGUGCCAAGCUGUUAACGUGCUUUUUUCAAGCAUUUUUUUUUUAUCCAUAUGCCUUUGGCUAAAUUCAAUAAAAUUAAAAGUUCAAAACUUAAGUUUAUGUUUAAUAAUAAUAAACUAAUAAUAGUAAGAAAAAUUAAUAUUAACUAUCAAGUUCGUUCUUAUGGUAUUAGAAUUCUUUCUUAAUACUUAAUAACGACAAUAAUAAUAACAAUAAUAAUACUAAUAAUUAUUUUCUUAAGCGUUAACUUAAUUCUUAACUUGAACUUAUAUAGAGUGAUAAAUCAUAUCCCAUAAUAAUAUUAAUGCAUAAAUUUAUAAAAUCAUGAUAUUUAUGAUUUUAUUUAUUAAAAUCAUUAUAUCAUUUAUUCAUUAAAUAAAUCGUAAACAUAAAACAAAUAAAGCAUUUUUUUACUAAGAAUUAAUGAAUUUAAAAAAUUUAUACUAAUAAAAUACAUUGAAAGAUUCAAAUUCAAGCUAUUUGUAAGAUCAUAAAAUUUUAAGUUUACUUUCAUUAAAAAUUUUUACUUUGAUUUAAAAAUUUUACUUUAAUAUACCUUAGCCCCAUGCUAUGAUGGCCUGCGGGCAAUAUGCUAGGUACUAGUGAAACGUAUUUAUUAUAGACUUUUUUUUACAUGUCAAUCUUUAUCCCAUCUCUAAUUGUAUAUUGUUUUAAAGUCCAUAUACCUUAAAUUCUCAUUUCAGUCCAACCCAUCAAUCUUUAUCCCAUCUCUAAUUGUAUACUGUUUUAAAGUCCAUAUACCUUAAAUUCUCAUUUCAGUCCAACCCAUAUGUGUGCCAUGUACUGUACUAAAAUGCGCUCGUGCCAUGUUGUAUUAUACGAACACGUUCCAUGCCACGUGCCAUCCUACCUUGGCCAUCUCUUUGUUAGCAAUAAUAUGUAAAUGAUUGAUCUUAUAAAAAAAAAUCUUGAAAACAAAGUGAGUCCAAAAAUUAUCGAAGAAAUCAAGUUUUAACUUGGCAAAGCACGCAACCUAUGCCUGAAUUUUAGUUAGAUGUUUGAUGCGACAUAUUUCAACCAACGAAAUUGGUCCUAUUGGAUUUGUCCUAAAUUUUGUUUGGUUGCAAUAGAGAUCAUUUACUUAAUUAUUGUAUUAAAUUUUAACAAGUCAUUAUUAAGUGUAAUAUAUGCAGGUCAAACGAGAACCCUUUUUAACAAAAUUUUAAAGAAAAGGACACUUGUACCCUUAUGGUUUGGGAAAAUGGUCAUAAGGACUCUUAAGUUUUCAAUAAGUGAUACUAAAGCCCCGUUUGAUCAUAUUACCCUUUACCUCUAUAAUCCCAAAAUUAUUGACCCCAAAAGUUUAAUAAUAAAUAGAAAUAUGACAUUAAAUACAUGUAAUAAUUCAU